UAAGACCAUGGAGACGGUAGCAGGCCGA
rnacentral:piRNA from 2 species